rnacentral:rRNA from 1 species
GAUGAACGCUGGCGGCGUGCCUAAUACAUGCAAGUCGAGCGAACAGACGAGGAGCUUGCUCCUCUGACGUUAGCGGCGGACGGGUGAGUAACACGUGGAUAACCUACCUAUAAGACUGGGAUAACUUCGGGAAACCGGAGCUAAUACCGGAUAAUAUAUUGAACCGCAUGGUUCAAUAGUGAAAGACGGUUUUGCUGUCACUUAUAGAUGGAUCCGCGCCGCAUUAGCUAGUUGGUAAGGUAACGGCUUAUCAAGGCGACGAUGCGUAGCCGACCUGAGAGGGUGAUCGGCCACACUGGAACUGAGACACGGUCCAGACUCCUACGGGAGGCAGCAGUAGGGAAUCUUCCGCAAUGGGCGAAAGCCUGACGGAGCAACGCCGCGUGAGUGAUGAAGGUCUUCGGAGCGUAAAACUCUGUUAUUAGGGAAGAACAAAUGUGUAAGUAACUAUGCACGUCUUGACGGUACCUAAUCAGAAAGCCACGGCUAACUACGUG